GGUCAGUGAUGAAUAGUAAAAGGUCUGAGUCCCCAGGUCCCUUCCCUGUAUCCAGAUGGUCCCCAGCUGCUUCUCCUCCAUCAGGCUCCAGUAGUGCCAUGAUGGGCCAAAGGGCAGCUGACAGUUGGAGAUGUCCCUUUCUGGUGUUUCUUGGUGAGCCCAGGGAAGACGCUGUGGUCGGCAUCCAACAGCUUUGUUACAAAGGGACUUUGGUCGGUGGGAGUGCUGGGAUCUGGGGUUUUGAUCUGACGUUUUCAAGCUGAGACC
rnacentral:snoRNA from 15 species